AACGCACCUUGCGCCCUCUGGUAUUCCGGAGGGCAUGCCUGUUUGAGUGUCAUGUAGACUCAAUCCCUCGGGUUUCCGAGGAGAUUGGACUUGGGUGUUGCCGCUCUGCCGGCUCGCCUAAAAAGACUUAGCGGGAUAGCACCGUAGUCGGCGUAAUAAGUUUCGUCGGUGAAGGUUGUGAUGACUGCUUACAAUCGCCCUCGGGCAAUUUUUGACUCUGACCUCAAAUCAGGUAGGACUACCCGCUGAACUUAA
rnacentral:misc_RNA from 1 species